rnacentral:tRNA from 1 species
GGACUCGUUGCAUAGCUUGGAUAGUGCGAUUGCUUGCGGAGCAAUAGGUCACCGGUUCGAAUCCUGUCGGGUCCG